CAACCCUUAAGCCUAGCUUAGUGUUGAGAAUCUACGCGUGGUGCUACCUAGUAGCUACCCUGUAGUUCUCUAAAUUCAGCGGCGGAGUUGUGGUAUCCUCUGAGCGUAGUAAUAAUCUUCUCGCUUCUGUAGGUGCUAUAAUUCUUGCCGUUAAACCCCCUAAUUUCUAAU
rnacentral:misc_RNA from 1 species